rnacentral:rRNA from 1 species
AGUGAACGCUGGCGGCAGGCCUAACACAUGCAAGUCGAACGGCAGCACAGUAAGAGCUUGCUCUUACGGGUGGCGAGUGGCGGACGGGUGAGGAAUACAUCGGAAUCUACUUUUUCGUGGGGGAAAACGUAGGGAAACUUACGCUAAUACCGCAUACGACCUACGGGUGAAAGCAGGGGAUCUUCGGACCUUGCGCGAGUGAAUGAGCCGAUGUCGGAUUAGCUAGGUGGCGGGGUAAAGGCCCACCAAGGCGACGAUCCGUAGCUGGUCUGAGAGGAUGAUCAGCCGCACUGGAACUGAGACACGGUCCAGACUCCUACGGGAGGCAGCAGUGGGGAAUAUUGGACAAUGGGCGCAAGCCUGAUCCAGCCAUGCCGCGUGGGUGAAGAAGGCCUUCGGGUUGUAAAGCCCUUUUGUUGGGAAAGAAAAGCAGCAGGUUAAUACCCCGCUGUUCUGACGUUACCCAAAGAAUAAGCACCGGCUAACUUCGUG